CAGGUUUUGACAGGAAUAACAAGGAUUGAAGGAGAUGAGGUGCUAUUCACGAAUGGCAUGUCUUAUCAAUUUGAUACCAUUGUCUUUGCCACAGGCUUUAAGAGAUCAACACACAAUUGGCUUAAGGAUGAUGAUUAUCACCUUGAUGAAGAUGGGUUUCCUAAACCAGAUUUUCCCAAUCACUGGAAGGGAAGAAAUGGUCUUUAUUGCACUAGUCUAGUAAGGAGAGGAUUGUAUGGAGCAACAAUGGAUGAUAAAAACAUAGCUGAUGAUAUCAAGAAAUUCCUAUUUAUUUAAGG